CUGCAGUUCCCUCUUGGUGGUCUGUUGCCUACCAAAAAUACAUACUUCUUUACAUUCCAUAGCACUGUAUGUUCAUAUGGGUACAUAAAGAAGUAUGUACUCUGAGUAGGCUACAACU
rnacentral:miRNA from 1 species